UACGAAGGGUGCAAGCGUUACUCGGAAUUACUGGGCGUAAAGCGCGCGUAGGCGGUUUGUUAAGUCCGUUGUGAAAGCCCUGGGCUCAACCUGGGAAUUGCAGUGGAUACUGGCGAGCUAGAGUGCGGUAGAGGAUGGUGGAAUUCCCGGUGUAGCGGUGAAAUGCGUAGAGAUCGGGAGGAACACCCGUGGCGAAGGCGGCCAUCUGGACCAGCACUGACGCUGAGGCACGAAAGCGUGGGGAGCAAACAGG
rnacentral:rRNA from 1 species